GGGGUCUUAUGGGGUCCUAUGGGGCUCUAUGGGGUUCUAUGGGGUCUUAUGGGGUUGUAUGGGGUCCUAUGGGGGCUUAAAGUGGUCCUAUGGGCGUCUAUGGGGCCCUUAUGGGGUCCUUAUGGGGUCCUAUGGGGCUCUAUGGGGUCCUUAUUGGUCCUUAUGGGGUCCUAUGGGGUUCUAUGGGGUCUUUAUGGGGUCCUUAUGGGGCUCUAUGGGGUCCUUAUGGGGUCCUAUGGGGGCUUAAAGGGGUUCUAUGGGGUCCUAUGGGGCUCUAUGGGGUCCUUAUGGGGUUCUAUGGGGUCCUUAUGGGGUCCCUAUGGGGUCCUUAUGGGGCUCUAUUGGGUCUUUAUGGGGUCCUAAGGGGUCUUAUGGGUUCUUUAUGGGGUCCUAUGGGGGCUUAAAGGGGUCCUAUGGGGCUCUAUGGGGUCCUUAUGGGGCCCUAUGGGGCUCUAUGGGGUCCUUAUGAGGAUCUAUGGGGUCCUAUGGGGUUCUAUGGGGGCUUAAAGUGGUCUUUAUGGGGUCCUAUGGGGUCCUUAUGGGGUUAUAUGGGGUCCAAUCGGGUCCUAUGGGGCUCUAUGAGGUCUUAUGGGGCUCUAUGGGGUCCUUAUGGGGUCCCUAUGGGGUCUUUAUGGGGUCCCCAUGCGGUUUUAUGGGGUCUUAUGGGGUCCCUAUGGGGUCCUAUGGGGGCUUAAAGGGGUUCUAUGGGGUCCUAUGGGGCUCUAUGGGGUCCUUAUGGGGUUCUUAUGGGGUCCCUAUGGGGACUUUAUGGGGUUAUAUGGGGUCUUAUUGGGGCUUUAUGGGGUCCUAUGGGGGCUUAAAGGGGUUCUAUGGGGUCCUAUGGGGCUCUAUGGGGUCCUAUGGGGUCUUAUGGGGUCUUUAUGGGGUCCUAUGUGGUCCUUAUGAGGCUCUAUGGGGCUUAAAGGGGUCCUAUGGGGCUCUAUGGGGUCCUUAUGGGGUUCUUAUGGGGU
ensembl:lncRNA